rnacentral:rRNA from 1 species
UACGGAAGGCAGCAGUGGGGAAUAUUGCACAAUGGGCGAAAGCCUGAUGCAGCUAUGCCGCGUGUAUGAAGAAGGCCUUAGGGUUGUAAAGUACUUUCAGCAGGGAGGAAAGAAAUAAAACUAAUAAUUUUAUUUUGUGACGUUACCUGAAGAAGAAGCACCGGCUAACUCCGUGCCAGCAGCCGCGGUAAUACGGAGGGUGCAAGCGUUAAUCAGAAUUACUGGGCGUAAAGAGCGCGUAGGUGGUUUUUUUAAGUCAGAUGUGAAAUCCCUAGGCUUAACCUAGGAACUGCAUUUUGAAACUGAAAAACUAGAGUAUCGUAGAGGGAGGUAGAAUUCUAGGUGUAGCGGUGAAAUGCGUAGAUAUCUGGAGGAAUACCUGUGGCGAAGGCGGCCCCUGGACAAAGACUGACGCUCAUGUGCGAAAGCGUGGGGAGCAAACAGGGAUUAGAUACC